UGCCCCCUGGCCCAGUUGGUUAAGGCGCACGACUGUUAACUCCGUUGUUACUUAAUCGUGAGAUCGAGAGUUCGAGCCUCUCGGGGGCAG